rnacentral:rRNA from 1 species
AGGGCACCACCAGGAGUGGAGCCUGCGGCUUAAUUUGACUCAACACGGGAAAACUCACCCGGCCCGGACACUGGAAGGAUUGACAGAUUGAGAGCUCUUUCUUGAUUCAGUGGGUGGUGGUGCAUGGCCGUUCUUAGUUGGUGGAGCGAUUUGUCUGGUUAAUUCCGAUAACGAACGAGACUCUAGCCUAUUAAAUAGGCUCUCGGCUUUUAAACGCCGGGAGGACUUCUUAGAGGGACAGGUGGCGGUUCAGCCGCACGAAAGAGAGCAAUAACAGGUCUGUGAUGCCCUUUGUUGUCCGGGGCCGCACGCGCGCUACACUGAAGAGAUCAGCGUGCUUUACGUUCCUGCUCCGACCGGAGUGGGGAACCCAGUGAACCUUCUUCGUGAUUGGGAUAGAAGAUUGUAAUUAUUCUUCUUGAACGAGGAAUUCCCAGUAAAUGCGAGUCAUAAGCUCGCGUUGAUUACGUCCCUGCCCUUUGUACACACCGCCCGUCGCUACUACCGAUUGAACGAUUU